rnacentral:rRNA from 1 species
UACAGAGGGUGCAAGCGUUAAUCGGAAUUACUGGGCGUAAAGCGUGCGUAGACGGUAACGUAAGUCGGGUGUGAAAGCCCCGGGCUCAACCUGGGAAUGGCAUUCGAGACUGCGUUGCUAGGGUGCGGAAGAGGGAAGCGGAAUUUCCGGUGUAGCGGUGAAAUGCGUAGAUAUCGGAAGGAACACCAGUGGCGAAAGCGGCUUCCUGGUCCAGCACCGACGUUCAGGCACGAAAGCGUGGGGAGCAAACAGG